CAGUAGCCGCGGGAAUACGAAGGGGGCUAGCGUUGUUCGGAAUUACUGGGCGUAAAGCGCACGUAGGCGGACAUUUAAGUCAGGGGUGAAAUCCCGGGGCUCAACCCCGGAACUGCCUUUGAUACUGGGUGUCUAGAGUAUGGAAGAGGUGAGUGGAAUUCCGAGUGUAGAGGUGAAAUUCGUAGAUAUUCGGAGGAACACCAGUGGCGAAGGCGGCUCACUGGUCCAUUACUGACGCUGAGGUGCGAAAGCGUGGGGAGCAAACAGGAUUAGAUACCCCGGUAGUCCCUGUCUCUUAUAA
rnacentral:rRNA from 1 species